rnacentral:rRNA from 1 species
GAUGAACGCUGGCGGCGUGCCUAAUACAUGCAAGUCGAGCGAACUGAUUAGAAGCUUGCUUCUAUGACGUUAGCGGCGGACGGGUGAGUAACACGUGGGCAACCUGCCUGUAAGACUGGGAUAACUUCGGGAAACCGAAGCUAAUACCGGAUAGGAUCUUCUCCUUCAUGGGAGAUGGUUGAAAGAUGGUUUCGGCUAUCACUUACAGAUGGGCCCGCGGUGCAUUAGCUAUGUGGUGAGGUAACGGCUCACCAAGGCAACGAUGCAUAGCCGGACUGAGAGGGUGAUCGGCCACACUGGGACUGAGACACGGCCCAGACUCCUACGGGAGGCAGCAGUAGGGAAUCUUCCGCAAUGGGCGAAAGUCUGACGGAGCAACGCCGCGUGAGUGAUGAAGGCUUUCGGGUCGUAAAACUCUGUUGUUAGGGAAGAACAAGUACGAGAGUAACUGCUCGUACCUUGACGGUACCUAACCAGAAAGCCACGGCUAACUACGUGCCAGCCGCCGCCGUAACAC